UGUUCCCUCCUAUUUAUUUAUUUAUUUAUUUAUUUAUUUAUCUUUUUAACUGACCAGGCUACAGACUCCAUUGAGCGCUGCAUUUUUGUCCUUGUUUUAUACCAUGGAAAUGUGGGCAAGAUUUCACGUUUUUUAAGUGAGGAGUGUUUACAGGAAGGAUUGUGUGUGCAUAUGGGGGCUGCCCUAUGGGGGCUCCUGCCCAGUAUCACACAUUAGUCCCCUCCCCGCCAUUCAUGGGGUCCCAAAGGGAAGCUAUUAACUCUGCAGCAGCAGCCUUAGGAGCCCAGCCAGGAGUCUGUACAGGGCUGUGUGUGUCAGGUUGCACCUCCUCCAGGCUGGGGGUUUCAGGACCCCACCCUGCCAGGUGCUCCCAAGAAGGGGCGUAGGUCCAUACUUCCCUCCACCGCCACCUCUUGGCAGCAGCAACCACCUUGUCCAUAGAAACCAACCCCUGGGGGCGUAGGGGUGCUUUGGCCCAGUCAGGCUGCAGUUCUGGAGCCUCCUCUGACCUGGGCUGGUGCCCCUGAACCCAGCUGGGCACCUCACCUGAUCUCGUGCGCAAGAUGUAUCACAGCCAACCAGGCCUGAGCAUGUUCCUAAGAUGGUGAGAUGGUUCCACUUCCCCUGCAGGGUGGAGGUGAGAUCAUAUACACUUUGGGGGGGCACACCAUUUACUUUGUUCUAUAAAUAAAUUGGUAAGACCGUGGUUCAUAAAGUCACUUUAAAGCGUUUUUUGAAUAAUUCACAUUCAAUUAAAAUUAUCACUAUCUAACAUAAUGGAAAACUUAAAUUUAUGUCUAGUUCAAGGAUUGAAAUUUACAUUGGUCUGAACUUGGCCAGGACUGGAUAUAUUCAUUUCUGGACCAAUGCCAAAAAAUAACUGCUAGUGACACUCUUGAUAUCUAGUAUCUUGCAAAUCUGGAUUAGAAACUAAUAAAUCACAUCAUUGUGGAACUGAGGUCCGUAGCUUUCCCUGGUAUAAAACAUUUACUUUUAAAGUUUGGAAAAUUUUGGAUUAAUUUUAACUUGCAUGUGUUACCCUCACCCAAUCAAUUCUGACAAGAUUUUAGCACCUUGUCUCUUGAGAACCAUUGAAGCUAGAAAAUGCUAUUCCAAAGAUGAAUCCUCAGCUUUCAAAUGAGACUUAAUGCUUUAUACAGUCUUAGCGGUUUUUGAAAUAUUGGUUGGUAAUUGGAAUAAUACGAUUUUUAAGGUCUACUGUCUUGGAUUUGCCUGCAUUAGGAACUUUUUAAAACCAGUACUGUUGAUUUUUUUAGGGCCAAUAAACUUCUUCAAGCACAAGUCCAAGAACAGCAACCAAAAGUGGAAAUUUUGAUCCCUAUGCAUGAAGAAAAGCAGCAGUACAAAUUUGCCACUUGAUGUUGCUGACAGUUUUAUGUCUUGCUAUGGCUUUUGCAACCAUUAUUGUGAUCCCUAUAUACUAAAUACAUUACACUGCUCUACAGCCAAAAUGCUUCUGAAAUAAAUGUAGUCAAACUUUA